AGGAACGACCAUAUCAGCACUAAUGCACGGGAUUCCAUCAGAACUCCAAAGUUAAGCAUGCUCGGCCAAGAAUAGUUUUAAGAUGGGCUUGUCUUAU
rnacentral:rRNA from 1 species